AAUAAACGCUGGCGGCGUGCCUAACACAUGCAAGUCGAGCGAGAAAGCUCCUUCGGGAGUUAGUAAAGCGGCGAACGGGUGAGCAACACGUGAGAAUCUACCCUUUAGUGAAGAAUACCCUCGAGAAAUCGAGGCUAAUACUGCAUACGUCCCUUCGGGGAGAAAGAUGGCCUCUUUGCUAUCGCUAAAGGAUGAGCUUGCGUACUAUUAGCUAGUUGGCGGGGUAAAGGCCCACCAAGGCAAUGAUGGUUAACCGGCCUGAGAGGGUGUACGGUCACACUGGAACUUAGACACGGUCCAGACUCCUACGGGAGGCAGCAGUGAGGAAUCUUGCGCAAUGGGCGAAAGCCUGACGCAGCGACGCCGCGUGGAGGAUGACGGUUUUCGGAUUGUAAACUCCUGUUAAGCGGGAAGAAAGCCUUGUUUCUAAUACAAGCAAGGUAUGACGGUACCGCUAGAGAAAGCACCGGCUAACUUCGUGCCAGCAGCCGCGGUAAGGA
rnacentral:rRNA from 1 species